GACGAACGCUGGCGGCGUGCUUAACACAUGCAAGUCGAACGGAAAGGCCCUGCUUUUGUGGGGUGCUCGAGUGGCGAACGGGUGAGUAACACGUGAGUAACCUGCCCUUGACUUUGGGAUAACUUCAGGAAACUGGGGCUAAUACCGGAUAGGAGCUCCUGCUGCAUGGUGGGGGUUGGAAAGUUUCGGCGGUUGGGGAUGGACUCGCGGCUUAUCAGCUUGUUGGUGGGGUAGUGGCUUACCAAGGCUUUGACGGGUAGCCGGCCUGGGAGGGUGACCGGCCACAUUGGGACUGAGAUACGGCCCAGACUCCUACGGGAGGCAGCAGUGGGGAAUAUUGCACAAUGGGCGGAAGCCUGAUGCAGCACCGCCGCGUGCGGGAUGACGGCCUUCGGGUUGUAAACCGCUUUCGCCUGUGACGAAGCGUGAGUGACGGUAAUGGGUAAAGAAGCACCGGCUAACUACGUG
rnacentral:rRNA from 1 species